UUGCCACUGGACGAGGAAGGUGGUCUAGCCCAGGAAAGGAAAAAAAGCCAUGUGGAGGAAUACCAAAGUGUCCCAAGCCAACAGCCAAUGCCAACUGCAAGCCAUAAGAAAACCUGAAUCUUACAACGAAGAGUAGCCCCUGCUCGUUGCAACUAGAGAAAGCCUGCGCUCAGCAACAAAGAUCCAACGCAGCCAAAGGAUGAACAUUUAAAAAUGUAUUUGAGGACUUCCCUGGUGGCAGAGUGGUUAAGAAUCUGCCUGCCAAUGCAGGGGACACAGGUUCGAGCCCUGGUCCGGGAAGAUCCCACAUGCUGCGGAGCAACCAGGCUCGUGUGCCACAACUGCUGAGUCUGCGCUCUAGAGCCCGCGAGCCACAACUACUGAGCCCACGUGCCACAACUACUGAAGCCCGCGGGCCUAGAGCCCGUGCUCCACAACAAGAGAAGCCACCGCAGUGAGAAGCCCGCGCACUGCAACGAGGAGUAGACCCCGCUUGCCACAACUAGAGAAAGCCCGUGCACAGCAACGAAGACCCA